GCCCUUCAGAGGGGGACAACAGUUGGAAACGACUGCUAAUACCGCAUACGAUCCAAUCUCGGCAUCGAGGAUGGAUGAAAGGUGGCCUCUAUUUAUAAGCUAUCACUGAAGGAGGGGAUUGCGUCUGAUUAGCUAGUUGGAGGGGUAACGGCCCACCAAGGCGAUGAUCAGUAGCCGGUCUGAGAGGAUGAACGGCCACAUUGGGACUGAGACACGGCCCAG
rnacentral:rRNA from 1 species